rnacentral:rRNA from 1 species
UACGGAGGGGGCGAGCGUUAUUCGGAAUUAUUGGGCGUAAAGGGCGCGUAGGCGGCUGUACAAGUCAAAGGUGAAAUCCCUCGGCUCAACCGGGGAACGACGCAUGAAACUGGCAAGCUAGAGUACCAAAGAGGGGGGUGGAAUUCCCGGUGUAGCGGUGAAAUGCGCAGAUAUCAGGAGGAACACCGGUGGCGAAGGCGGGUCUCUGGGCCGAUACUGACGCUGAGGAGCGAAAGCGUGGGGAGCGACCAGG